CGGGAGUAAUGUCUGGGAAACUGCCUGAUGGAGGGGGAUAACUACUGGAAACGGUAGCUAAUACCGCAUAACGUCGCAAGACCAAAGUGGGGGACCUUUCGGGCCUCAUGCCAUCAGAUGUGCCCAGAUGGGAUUAGCUAGUAGGUGGGGUAACGGCUCACCUAGGCGACGAUCCCUAGCUGGUCUGAGAGGAUGACCAGCCACACUGGAACUGAGACACGGUCCAG
rnacentral:rRNA from 1 species